UUGAAGGAUGAUAUUUCUAUUGUAAAAGAUUUGCCUGAAGAUUUCUCUUGGAGCACGAGAGAGUAUUAUGCCAUAGCUAUUCGAGCUACUAGAGUCAAAACGGCACCUGUUCAUGCUUCAGCUAACUGGUACUUGGAAAAUGUGUCACCUAUCCUAGAGAGGUUGGUAUUGGGCUUCAUUUCUAGACAUCAUUGAAGCACAAUAGUUAUUUAGUAAACUAUUGUUUACAUAUGCUUGAUUAUAGAAGCGAUGCAUGAAAGGGUCUGUCUUUAGUCAACAUGUAAAUGGCCUGUAAGCUGUUGCAGAUAUCGUAAGAAGAAAUAGGUACAUUGGCAUGCUGUGGAUCCAAAUCUUCUGAAAAAGUCAAUACUUUCACUAUCUAUAUUGUCAAUAAUUACCUGUGAAAUUUUAAAUGCACUCAUGAGCUAAGAUUUUCACAUGGCAUUGGCUAACACAGAGGUAUUGGUUGGCUGGUCGUUACAGGACUAGACUUCGGAGCUAAUCUGUUGGUUUCAUAAUAUUAUUUGUAUUGAGGAGGUCUAGAGUUUUUCUAUAUUAUCGUAUACUAGUAGCAGUAAAUGUCAUGCUUUGUAAACAAUUUUCGUAUAUAUAUUAAGCAACAGUAGGAACACAGAAUGCAUUCUGCAUACUUCUAACAGUUAUUACAGCUUAUUUGCAGCAUAGAUCGUGAAAUAAUUAAAUUUAAUGAUCUGCAGAGAGGGUUCUAAAAUAUUACUUAGUCAAUUAGAUAUUUUCCCAUAUUCAUUUUCAUUUGAGCAUCCACACAACUGUGUAGAUUAUUAAUUUGCUCAUUAUUCAGUUAUGGAAUAGCUGCAAUAGCUCCAUUUUCACAUCGAUUGGAUUUUGACAACAUGCCUGAGGAUAUCCAGCGUCUACGCUGCAAGGUCAACUUUCAAGCACUAAGUUUUGUACCUCAUAUAAGAUCUCUUGGAGAUGCUAUUGUUAGCCGCCUCAGGUAUCCAUCUGGGCAAAAAGAAGUUAGUAGCGAGUUCCUUACAGAGGUUACCGAAACACAAGGACGGCCAGAAGCCGGGAAAUUCGUUGUUUUACAUCUUCGGUUUGAUAAGGUAGGCCAAUUAUUCUAUAACAGUUCGAAGAUCUUUCCUCAAAUCUUCCUUCGAAGAGCUUGACUAUUUAUGUAGUGGGUAAAUAUUACACACCUAAACAAAAAAACGGUGUUUAAUUGGGUUUUUGUUUUCCAAAUUCAGUUGCAUAGAACUCUUUAAAUUCCUACCAGAUAGAAACUGUCCGCUUUUAGGUUUUGUGCUUCUGAGUGGAAUUGUCAACUGGUAUACACUUAUUAGACAGAUUUAUAGUCCGGUUAUUUUUUUUUUUUUCUGAAGGGACCAGUCAAAAUUUAGCAUUUAAUUACACUCAUUCUUGACCUUUAAUGUAUGUGUAUUUGAUUUAAAAUAUAUAAGCUUGCUCAUUGUUAAUGGUGUGUCCAAUCACUUAGUAUCUGCAACUUGCUACUCGUUCAAGUAAAGUGUCUUUCUCCUGCAUAAUAUAUUUAAGAUUCCGAAUAUUUAAAUGCUUGCCUACACUAAUUUUCACUUUUCAGGAUAUGGCUGCUCACUCAGCCUGCGAUUUUGGUGGAGGUAAAGCUGAGAAGUUGGCACUGGCCAAGUACAGACAAGUGAUUUGGCAGGGAAGGGUCCUGAACUCCCAGUUCACGGAUGAGGAGUUGAGGAACCAGGGCCGUUGCCCAUUGACUCCAGAAGAAAUCGGGCUGCUUCUAGCUGCUUUGGGCUUUGACAACAGUACUCGUCUGUAUCUUGCCUCCCACAAGGUUCAUACUAUUUUUUUUAUAAUAUGCUAGUAAAUUAAUGUGCACUGAUGCCUUGGCAAAAAAAAAAAAGUGCACUGCAUGCUUCUUUCCUGUAUACUAAAACUUGAUGAUUGGACACCCUUGUUUUCUAGGUGUAUGGUGGUGAAGCUAGAAUCUCCACAUUAAGAGAAUUAUUCCCAUUGAUGGAAGACAAAAAGAGUCUUGCGUCUUCAGAAGAAAGGGCGAAUAUUAAAGGAAAGGCUUCUUUAAUGUCUGCUGUUGAUUACUACGUCAGCAUGCACAGUGACAUCUUUGUUUCAGCUUCACCAGGAAAUAUGCACAAUGCUAUGGUAAGCACUUUUAACAAGACAUGGUAGGAUAUUCCAGGACAGCAUCUUAACGCAUACAUGGAUUUGAUCCUUUGGUUAAGCUUUUUCCUAAUGAUUUUCAUGGUUUUCGCUGAAUUUGCCAAAUAAUUUAUAUAGGUAAUUCUGCCGUUUCUCUUUUGAUAUAGUUUGCAUUUUACUUUUUUUCAUCUGCACGGGCACAGAAAAUGUUUGAACAUGCUUAGCUAAAGAACCACUUCAUCAUUCAUAAUCGGUCUGAUUCUAUAUUAUGGCUAUUUACCACUCAUUAAUAUAUAUAAGCUCAAAGGUUGAUAAAUAUAUCUUCUCGAUAUAACAUUGCAGGCCUUUCCUCUAAUUUUUAUAUCAUUUUGUUUAUCUAUAACAGGUAGGACAACGAACUUACCAGAAUCUUAAAACAAUCAGACCUAACAUGGGGCUAUUGGGGCAACUAUUCCUUAACAAGAGCAUGGAUUGGACAAAUUUCCAAGAAGCUGUGGUCGAAGGGCACAUAAACAGGCAAGGGCAACUCAGAACACGGAACCUGAAACAGUCAAUAUAUACAUACCCUGCACCAGAUUGCAUGUGCCAGGCUUAAGGUGUCGGAUUACAAAGAUGAAGUCACUAUUGUUUAUUAUAUCCCAGAAAUUAGUGGUUAAAGCAUGGUAUUUAUCAUAUAGUUGUCUAGGCUGCCAUCACUAUUCAUGGUUAAAGGUUAAAAUA
rnacentral:lncRNA from 1 species